AUUGAACGCUGGCGGCAUGCCUUACACAUGCAAGUCGAACGGCAGCAUAGGAGCUUGCUCCUGAUGGCGAGUGGCGAACGGGUGAGUAAUAUAUCGGAACGUGCCCAGUCGUGGGGGAUAACGUAGCGAAAGCUACGCUAAUACCGCAUACGAUCUAUGGAUGAAAGUGGGGGAUCGCAAGACCUCGCGCGAUUGGAGCGGCCGAUAUCAGAUUAGGUAGUUGGUGAGGUAAAGGCCCACCAAGCCGACGAUCUGUAGCUGGUCUGAGAGGACGACCAGCCACAUUGGGACUGAGACACGGCCCAGACUCCUACGGGAGGCAGCAGUGGGGAAUUUUGGACAAUGGGCGCAAGCCUGAUCCAGCAAUGCCGCGUGCAGGAUGAAGGCCUUCGGGUUGUAAACUGCUUUUGUACGGAGCGAAACGGCUUCCACUAAUACUGGGGGCUAAUGACGGUACCGUAAGAAUAAGCACCGGCUAACUACGUGCCAGCCGCCGCCGUAACAC
rnacentral:rRNA from 1 species